UUGAAUCUUAAUUUGCUUACAAAAAAUUUCUCAGACAACACAAUCAAGAAAACUGUGUUUUUGAGUUUGAGAAAAUGCUGGUUUUCUUAAUCUAAAAUUGGGCUGAAACCCACUAUAUAAAAAUCAAAAUUGUCGUAACAGUGCUUAGGUCAGGCCCAAAAGUAACCUGACUCGGAUCCACAAAAUCUCAAAAGAGAAAGCAAAAACACUUCCGACUAUUAGGUUAUUUUAGAAAGUGUAAAGUUCCUCCUCUUGUUGCCUUUUCAGCUUCUCAAUUGUCGAUGAAAUUCGGUGUUCCACGCCGCUACUGUGAUGCUAUCUUUGGUCAUCAUCCUCUACCUAUUCAUCUCCAUCACUCAGCUAAGUAUCAAAAGUCAACCUUACCUUUAUCUCUUUUCUAACUCGCUGGGUUGAGCUUAUUAUGACGCUAAUACCACCAUCAUAAUUAGAAACGAGUUUCCAGUAAGCAUUAAUUAAGUACAUUAGUAGUGUGGUGGGUAAUUUCUAAUCAAUUUUAGGGACUGUACAGAUUUGAUCUCGCUGGUGCUUGAAUAUUCCAACCCUCACAUCCAAAAUCUCACUGAAUGCAGGCUUCAUACUCAAUGAAAAUCACUUCCAACACCGGGUACAAGUUGUAGCGAAUAUACCAUAUUCAGUCAGUUCGCAGCUUCCAGUCAGCAGGUGAUGAGUCCUUUUGAUUCAUGGGCUCGAGUCAGUUACACAGUUUGAGAAGUAUUGUAUUUUCUUUAUUCAAUCGUAUUGAGUUGGGAUAGUUGGGAGUCAUGACCCGGCUACCUAUAGUCAGUACUAGUAGAGACUUCAUAGACAGUUAGUAGUGUUAAUGUAUUUUAUUUCAGUUUUGUUGUCAAAAGCAGAGUUGUAAUCUUGUAAAUUCAGAUUUGUAUUGAUCGAGUUCAGAGAAGUUUUAUGUUUC